rnacentral:sRNA from 1 species
AAUUAAUCUUAAGACCACUCUCUCAAAUAAGAGAUCGAUUGUAGUACUUUAGGGUCGAAUUCCACAAAGUUCUCAGAUCACACAAUAGACUAAGGUUUCGAAUUAAGCUAAACAAAUAGAUU